GUGCCAGCCGCCGCGGUAAUUCCAGCUCCAGUAGUGCAUAUACAUGCUGUAGUUAGAAAGUUUGUAGCCGUGUUAUAGUCCUGUUUGGAAACGAGGGUUCUUAAGAUCUUCUCUAACUUACAGUAGACGUAACAUUAAGGAGCGGAUGGAGGUAAUUGUAUUUGGCAGCGAGAGGUGAAAAUUGAAGACCUGCCGAGGACAACCAGUAGCGAAAGCGAUUACCUAGUACGCGUCUGAUGGUCAAGAACGUUAGCCGGAGGAUCAAAGAUGAUUAGAUACCGUUGUAGUUCCGGCCGUAAACGAUGCCUACUUAUAGUGUCAGUGCGCUGAUGCAAUAUAGAGAAAUUAAGAGUGUAUGGGCUCUAGGGAUAGUAAUCCGGCAACGGACAAACUUAAAGAAAUUGGCGGAAGGACACCACAAGGAGUGGAGCACGCGGUUCAAUUUGACUCAACCCGGGACAACUUACCAGGGCCGGUGCACGCGAGAAUGCCGCA
rnacentral:rRNA from 1 species